GCCUGGCUGGCUCAGUUGGAAGAGCAUGGGACUCUUGAUCUCAUGGUCGUGAGUUUGAGCUUCAUAUGGGGCA
rnacentral:tRNA from 1 species